UAAUUUAAAAGAGAUAAAUAAGAAAACAUUAUGCACUCUAUUCAAUGCAACGUUAAAUUAAAUAAAUGAAAAUGCUAAUUGAAGACAUUAAAUGCAUAUCUUUCACAGUUCAGGUGUUAAAAUAAAAUACUUUGGAACUCUCCUAAAUUGAAUCCACAUUUUCAAAAAAAAAAAAAAAAGUAAAUUGUCCAUGCACCACCCAUACUCAAUUACCGUGCAGCUGCUUCAAAGUAACACUACGAAUCCACUUCUUUCUCCUCUGCCAACCGUCCCAUCAAAUUUGUUGUUUUUCAUUCUUCUAAGUAAAAUGGAAGUAUAAAGCAAUUAAUCAUCAGACCCACCGUGUUUCAUUCAAUAAAGCUUGGAGAAAAAAAAAUAUAUAAACCCCAAUGCGUCAGCUACUUCUGGCAUCCACAAAACAAGGAAAAUUGCACCAUCUAAACCGUGAUAUUCUUCAACAGUGAAAAGAAAAAAAAAAAAAACAAGAAAUGUUUCC
rnacentral:lncRNA from 1 species